AUUAAAUAGGGAGUGAAUCUGGACCGUUCAUCGCGAUCUAAUCUAAGCCGUCUAUGCACGAUUCACUUUGGGUCAUCUGUGCACGCGGGAAUGCACGUCAGUCAUUCGAUCGCGUGCACGCGGAUCGCCCACGUGGCUCCCCUUCGUGUUGCCUCCUGCGUCAUUGCCUUUGCCACUUGACGCGUCCUGGUUGGUCUGGGCUGCUGAUCGUGCGUCUGACAUGAUAAAAUUUUUCUAAAUUGCGUUUUGACCUCCAGUUUCUGAUUUUUCUUUCAAAAAUGUCCCCGAACCCAAUCUUUCACCCCUUUUUCUCAGAAUUAU
rnacentral:lncRNA from 1 species